AGGACGAACGCUGGCGGCGUGCUUAACACAUGCAAGUCGAGCGGAAAGGCCCUUCGGGGUACUCGAGCGGCGAACGGGUGAGUAACACGUGAGCAACCUGCCCCUGGCUCUGGGAUAGCCUCCGGAAACGGGGAUUAAUACCGGACAUUCUCCUUCUUCCGCAUGGUUGAGGGUGGAAAGUUUUUUCGGCCGGGGAGGGGCUCGCGGCCUAUCAGCUUGUUGGCGGGGUAACGGCUCACCAAGGCGACGACGGGUAGCCGGCCUGAGAGGGCGACCGGCCACACUGGGACUGAGACACGGCCCAGACUCCUACGGGAGGCAGCAGUGGGGAAUAUUGCGCAAUGGGCGGAAGCCUGACGCAGCGACGCCGCGUGGGGGAUGAAGGCCUUCGGGUUGUAAACCCCUUUCACCAGGAGCGAAUCAAGACGGUACCUGGGGAAGAAGCGCCGGCUAACUACGUGCCAGCAGCCGC
rnacentral:rRNA from 1 species